GAUCUUCCAUGAUAGCUAUUGAGGAAUUUCAACAGCAGUUAUAGUCAUAAUCAACUUAGUUUCUCUGCCCAUUUUGGCUGCUGUGCAACAGUCUCUGCACUUGGUAGAGUUGAGCCUUCUUGGUGGUGGUCCCCUCGUCAUGAAACAUCCUCCAGAGAUACAGUUGCCCAGAGCCAACACUUUGACACCGGGUUACUUGAAAAAGCAGGGUGGAUUUUAAAAACUAAAUACAGUGUUAAGGCUUCCUAGGGAACAGUGUUGAUUUGUUAUGGUGGAAGAGUCUUUGGCAUCUUUGCAAGUUUGGGUAAGGGAGAAGGAGGACAUGUAAAUAAACUUAAGGAUGGUGAUACCUAUUAAGUCUGAAUCUGUGUUUCCUUUAUUAUGUUAGUGUUUAAAGCUCUAAAUGGCUUGGGCUCUUAAUAUCUGAAAAAACACCUUUCCUAUCAGUGUUAAAAUCAGCAUAGGGGGCCUUUAUAGUUCCACUACCCUCAGAUGGUCAGGGUGUUGGUGGUGGCCCAAGUGAGGGCAUUCUCUGCAGCAGAUCCUAGCUUGUGGAAUUCCCUCCUUACAGAGGUGUGUCUGGCACCUAUGCUAUACAGCUUUUGGAGGAUGCUGAAGAAGCAUCUCAGGGCGGUGGGUUCAUUCCCCACGUUGGGCAAAAGAUUCCUGCAUUGCAGGGAGUUGGACUUGAUAACCCUUGUGGUCCCUUCCAACUUGACCAUUCUACAAUUCUCUGUGUGUUUUGGGGACCCACUGUGAUUUGUUUUUAAAGGUUGAGUUUUAAAUUGUUGUAACCUGCCGUAGAUCCGCUGCUGAAGGGUGGGUAAUAAAUUAUAAUAGUAACUUGAAAAACACUAAUUAAUUAAUUAAUAAUGGCCCAAUUUGGGAUAGGCACAGAUGAUUUGUGUUUUGUUAUUCUCUUCUCCUCCGAUCCCCUUCAUUACAGGACAGGGUUAUAUUUCACCCCCUCUCUAAUAGGUAGGAGAGGAUAUCAAAUGUAUAUUAUGAGGGCUGGGUGAAAAUUGGCCUGUGGCCCUGCUGGCCUUUGGCUGCUGUGAUGUAGGGCAGCAAGGGGUCCUUUCAGUGCUUCUCUCUGCUUGCCCAACUUUUGGAGCAUCUCUGCCUACUGAGCAGCCGUUUUCAGCCUAGGGGUUGGUCUGCUAAUGACUGAUCUAAAACCAUCAAAUUCAUUUAUUUGUCACUGCCACUGACAGCCCAGUUAAUGAUAAUAGAUUCUUUUUUUAGCCGGUCGCCUUGUCUGAUUCCUUCUCUCUCUCUCUCUCUCUGUUCCCGCCCCCUGAUAUGCUGAGAAUCGGCAUUACUGAGAAAACGCAGGUCUUAUUUUUAGCAAGAGAUGCUGGAAAUAGCAUAACUCACGCAGCAUGUGCCUUAGAUAUAGCUUAUGUGGAUGGGAGUGGAAUUGAGCGUCGUGUGUUUCUAGGUGCCGUCUCAAAUCCUGGCAUUCUGCUGGUACUUCCAGGGGCAUAUGUGUGAAAGUGCAAGAUAGGUGGUAGCUGUGGGAGGAGCACACUGAAAAGCAUCCAUGUGCCAGCUUCCACCCUGGCUGUGUGAGGCUGUGUGCACAAGAUGCUGCCCCAAACAUGCCUUGGCAAGUGCUCAAAGUUGCAGUGAAGAUGGUGUGCUAGAUGCUGAAUUCAGCACAUGGCAGCAGGUGUGGGGAACCUUUGGCCCUCCAGAUGUUGCUGAGCUCUAACUCCCAUCAUCCUUGGCCAUUGACCACUUUUGCUAGGGCUGAUGGGAGUUGUAGUUCAGCAUCAUCUGGAGUGUCAAAGGUUCCCUGUGCCUGAUGUAUUUAUUUAUUUUAUUUCUAUACUGCUUUAUAUUUUUAAUAAAAAUCUCAAAGCGGUUUACAGCAUAUUAAAUCAACCAACCAAUAAAACAAUAGCCAGGCGAUGUUCCUCCGGCCUCAUGAGGAGCCUCUUCAGUAGGGGUGGGUGAGUGUGGGCCUCGCCCCCAGGGCAGGUGGAAAGGGCCUUGCGGGGAGUGGCCGUCGCGCCUCACAGCCGGGCGAUGUUCCUCUGGCCUCAGUGAUGUACACCAUUAGCUGACUGUGAGUUAAGAACAUCAAAGGGAAAGGUGUGUCUUACAAAAUCCAAGAGCUCCAUCCUGUAAUUCCUCCAUCUUUGUCAAACUGGCUCCUUCCGGCCUUCUAAAAACACAUGCAGGAAGAGCUGGGUUCCAUCUGUAGCUUGAACACUCCAUCUUGGCUCCAUGCUUUUGGGCUUCUUGGCCAGGAGGCCGUUUCACUCCUUUCGCUGCUGCUUAUUCACUCGUCUUCUCCCUCCAAGGCUGACGAUGUUGCUCCCUACCGCCAGCCAUGCAAAAUACAUGAACUGAGCACCAUGACCUCUUCACAUCAAAGCAACAGCAGACAACUCGCACGCACACAUACGCACAGCCUCUGGGUGCACAGUGACUACUCAAAAGUACUUGCAGGAGGGGUUUUUUUUAACAGCGAAUGUGCAUGCACAGUGUGAGUUGUGUGUAGUUUGUGUGAGCUUUCUGCUCUUGCUUUGACCUGAAUAGGCCAUGGUGUUGAGUUCAGAUACUUUGGUUGCAAUUGAUUGCCCAUCUGUUGAGUUGCCCUUGACUCCUCACUUUUGCCUUUCCAUUCUUGGGCACCACACAAUAGUGCUCGGUGCCCGUUGGGAUUGGUGGGGCAGAGGAAAGGGAAACUUAAGUUGUUCUAAAUUGUUUUUAAUACAGUACUGUGUUUUGAUGCUGUAACCUGUCCUCGGACCUCAGGGCAGUGUUUGAAAUUAGCCAGGCGCAAGGUGCAUUUUGCACCUGAUUAUCGGCCACUUGCGACCAAGUGAAGAUUCCUGGCCUCCAGAAGGGUGCCUGAUAUCUCUGCCAUCUGGAGGUGCCUGCCUGGGAAUCCUUGGAUCUGGACUGUUUUCAUACACUGAUACCACAUCCUAGGCAGAAUUCUAUCAGUUAUAUUUUAUCUGCAUAAUUGGAAUGAAUUUCAGGAACCAAAAUGCUUUUUCUGUGCAGCCUGAUCAGGAGCGGUGAACGACGUUACAGUGAAUUGUUGUAGCUUGUCUUCGCUUACCCGUCCCCACCCCACUGCCCUGUUCACAGUUGUGAAGAAUAUUCUUACAUUAUGAAUGGUCUGUGUCCAUUAAGAAAAAGAGGUAGGAAUAGGCCAGUAUAUAUGCAGGCUGUCCGUGGAGAAAGUAACCUGUCUUCUUUUAAGUUUUCAAAUUUCUUAACCUAGCUCUAGGUUUCCACUUGAACCAGCCAGAUGUUUAACUGAGAACCAAUCACAGUUAGUCCAUCAUUUGAAAAAUAAGACUUGAGAGCCAUCUUGCCCCAAAAUGGCAACUAGAAAUUCCAUUUUGGCAGCUGUAACCUUGGUUUAAGGAGCCAUUUGGCGCCUAGCCUAUAUAUCUGAGUUUCUAACGCUGCCUCAGGGUGAAGGGCGGGUAGUUAAAUAAAUAGUAACUAAUGAUAGGUGGGGCUGAAGAAUCACAGGAGCCAGAGACAACUCAUUAUGGCUUUGUCCCUAUUAUUCUCCUGUGCAAAAGACAAUAUAGACAUGAAAGUAGUACAUGAUUACAUGGGAGUAAGUCCUUUUGAACUCACUUGGUUCUAAGAAGACCUACAUAGGAUUGCUUUGCAUAGAUUCUUCACUAUCUACCUCUCUUAACACACACGAUGAAUGAAAGCAGGACAUGGGGACGCCGACUCCGAGCCAGGAAUUAGAGAGCAGAGAAUGAAUUUAGUAUAGCCAGGUGGGUUGAGGAGAGGAAGGCUGUGCUCAAGUUUUGGACAUGGCCCAAGUUGCCCAUAGCAAAAAGCCUUCCUUGUUGCCAUGUUUAUCUUAAAAGGACUGUUCACGCAUGGUUGUAGAGCAAGUAGUAGCUGGACUUGAGCAGCACGGCUGUCUAUCACUAAAUCCAGCAAUGUUCAUUUGCAAUUGAAAUUGCUCUCAAGCAAGUUCUGCAGUAAAUAUGGUUGGGCUGAACUUGUGUGUUGGGGGGAAAACAUGCCUGCUUCACUGUACUAAAUUUUAUUUAAGUUUAAGCUGUCCUCCUUGGAUCCACCCCAUGCAUGUUUUCAACACGUCAAUUUUGGUUCUGGCAGCUCGUUGGGUUCUCUAUGAGGUUUUUUAUGUGAGAAACCUUAAAAAUCUUGUUCCAGAAAUGGAUCUGGAGGGGAAAGCCAUUAGCAAUCUAAUUCUGCUCUCUUCUCUUUUUCUGGAAGCUCUACCUAAAAAUUAUAAGGUUUCCUCACAGGAGAAAUUGGGUUUUAGACAGGGCAGGUUUCACACAGUAUGUUUUGCACCUUGCUGCUGGACCGUGUUAUGAUUCAUCUGCAUCUAAAGGUGAAUCAUCAAUGCGGCGUGUUUCUCAGUCUUGAAUCUCUGGUAUUUAAAGUAGAUUUGCUAACCAAUGCUUUGAAGAUCUUAUAGGCUGCCCUGUGGAUGUAGGUUUCUCUUCUCUCGUACCACCCUCCACAAGUAAGCAGACCAGAUGGCAUUUAAAGUGAAGUGUGUGUCCACUAAAAGUAAACUAAGGUGGUUCAGAGAGGUAUAAAUCCUUGACCUUAAUGCAUUUUCCUUAAUUCCUGUUUUGGACUCAUGGUGGAAUGUCAACCCACCUCUUCCCUAAUGAGAACAAUGUCCUAUACCUGUGAUGAUUGACGGCACGGUAAAUCCAUAAGGCAACCCCUUCCUCUCUUCUGCCCACACACAAACACAACACAUUUCUUUUUCUUUUUUUAAGCCUUUUUAAAGUGCAGUUUCUGUUUGGAAUUCUCUCUGCCCUUGGGCAAGGAUGACAGUAAAUGCUGCUAGUUGAGCUGUCUUUCUGCCUUCAUGAUGCCCAAAUAGUGUGCUGUUUUUCUUGACUUAGGGAGGUCAUUAUAAAAUGAGUUUGCAAACCUUUGCUGUCAAUCCAAUUCGUCCCUAUUCUUCGGUAAAGUGAGCAUCCUGGCUGUAGUCCUGUGACACAGCAGGAGUUGUGUGUGUUGGGUGCCUUCUGACGCAGCAUUGCACCCUCUCCCCCCUUCUAGGUGACGCCAAAUGCUUUUCUUCUGGUCAUCAUGAGGACUGGUGCCAUGGCAUGGCAGUGGCAUGAUGGAUUCUGUUCACUGUGGACUUGCUCUGCAUUAUUUGUUAGAUGAUUAGGUUUUUAAAAAUAUUGUCGAAUUGGUCACUGGUCACAUGAGGUUGCAUAGGAGAGGACUAGGAAGGGAAACCUAGGAAUAUAGGAAGCUGUCUUGGUUUAUCAAGCUCAGUGUUGUCUGUUCUCACAACGGUCUGCUCAGAUACGAAGGACUUUGCCUGUUGUCCAUCAAUCAAAACAUCGGAAAGAGGGUCGGGUGGGGAGCACCUGGCCUCUGAUUAUCUUAAUUGACAGAUGGGGUCAUCCUGUUGGAGCUGGUGGUUCUUUGAGUGGCUGCAAGCUAUAGAGGUCUUUCAAGGUUAACACAGUUAGAAUUGUGCCUGAAAAUGCAUAAGAAGUCCGCAAAACUGUUUUCAAACUAGUGAGUUAUCUUGCGACCAACAGAUUCUGGUCAGUAAUGUGGCUGUCAUAUGCUGAAUGUAUGCACAGCCACGCGAUGUGUCUGGAGUUUCUCUGUGUCUUUCUAGCCUUCCUCUUUGCAACCAGUGACCUUGAACUGCCUUGCAGUGUCCUUGAUGUUUUACUCCUUGUAUUCUUCAAGAGUUCCCCGCAUCUCUUAUCUAGUUGCUGCUAGAAACCGUCAUGGUGCUUUGCCAAGCGAAGGAGUGGGAAGCUCUGGCUACUUCAGGCUGGCCUUAUUCUUUCAUGAGACUGAACAACUUCUGGGAAAGGUAACUUUGAGAAUGUUCCCUUUUCUUAGAACAGAUGCAUCCUUGGCUUUGCAGAACAUAACAGCCUACAUCCUUUGGACUCCUAGUUCGCACUUCUUUUCAGAAGGUAAUCCUAGCUGGUACAAGUUGCGAUAAAACAUUGCUUUCAGAAUUUUUUUUAAAUUAAAAGAGCACAUCGCGGUUUGUUUAUUUACUCAAAGCAUUUUUAAAAUCCUGCUUUUCAGGCUCCCUCUAUAAAUCCCAGUGAUAAAGGCAGUCCCAACCUCCAGGCUUACAAUCUAAAAGACACAACACAAAAGGAAGAGGGAUGAAGGGGCAAAAGCAAGAAAAUUUAGGCAUCAUUUCUUGCUUACAAAGUUAGUAUUAUUUUGAUUUAUUUCCCACCCUUCGUCCUGAGGUCCCAGAGCAGGCCACAACAAUUAAAAAUAUCCAGCUGGAAUGAAAAGAUUAGCGCCAAAAAUGGCAGGUCUUUCAGUAUAGCUGAAUCCAACAUUUUCAUCCUUUGGAAUCCAAAAGAUUUCUGUCCAUUCAUCCAAAUGUAUUCAGUGUGAAAGGGCACUCAUAUGUGGCUGAUUAGAUGUUAGGGAGACAUGUUGCUUGCCUGUAAAAGUUGGGAUCUCAGAGGCAAACAGCACAUGAAUUUGUGUAAUAAGACAACUUAAAAAGAAAAGCAGCCACUGAAGGCUUUGAUCUGAGUGCCAUGGGGAGGGGCUGAUUCUUUUGGUUACUUUCCUGCUCAAAAACUCCCCCAAGCCGCUUCUCUCUCCUCACCUACCCAGUCGAGACGUUCUACAUUGAUAUUUACCUUUGUAAAGCUCUGUUGCUUCUUGACUUCAAUUGGAGCCUCCCGAGUCUGCUUUUCAUGCAAAAUGAAACCACCAGGCUUUAUUGUACAAAUUUGCAUCUGCUGCAUGUGUUGACCUUCAGGUUUUGACCCUGAGUUUAGUAUUUAACAGGAGAAAGAGGGGCAUGCAUUCUGAAAUAUUGGAUGGACUACUUAAUGAGUGUCACCCGCCAACAUUGGGCUGCAGGUAGCAAAACGCUAUAAGCAGACAAUUCAAGUAGUGCAAAAUGGCAGCUCCUAAUAAAGUUGAGUUUAAGAGGCCAUUGGCGUACUUUGGCGAUUGGAAGGCUGCGUAGAAGGAGGUGAUGCCUGAAGAAUGAAAUGAGCUGUGACUUAGUCUUGAACUGAAAGAGCUCAGCUAAUACCCAGUUCUUGACGCACAGCAUGGUAUACUUGCUUCGGCACUGGACUUGCAACAGACUUCAAAUCCAUGCUCACCUGCAAAGUUCACUGGAUGGCUAUCAGCCAGGUACUAACUCUCAUUCUCUCAGCAUAACCCACCUCUCAAUGUUGCAGGGAGGGGAGAGAACCGUGUGUGCCAGCCAGAACUGUUUGGAGAAAUACAAAGAAAUAACACGAGUUGUGAAUGCCAGGCCUCAGCCCCUGUCAUCUAACUUAGCAUGCCUCUGAGCAUGCGCAGGGUGCUCUGCUUGUUUGCUCGUUACUGAGAACCACGGACACGUCGUGUGAUGGAGGAGAUAUAAUCUCCAGGGCACCGCCUGCCAUUUCACAGUUCAUUUCUCUUUUGAGCAAAUCUUGGCACCUGAAUUUUACAGGAGGGCUACUUUGGGGAGGGCCCACCACAGACACUGUUCCUACCUGGGUAACUUGAAGGGUCCACCUGGUGGUCCUCAGGGCUGGAUUUGGCCCUGGGCUUGAUGGCUUAAAAGAUUUUGGGUGCCAGUUCCUUUUCUCUUACUGGACAGCUGCUUCAUGUUUUCUUAAUAACCUCUAAUUUAGGUUAAUGCAUAUCACUGGAAUCUGCGUCUCUUUUGAAAAUUAGGCUCUGCACCCCAUGUUGGGAGCUUGCAUGCAAUAGCAAGCUCCUUUAACACAGGAGAGAUCAAAGGAACUUUUGCUCUUUCAUAAGGUUCUUAAAACUGUUUGGCAGGUGCAGCUCUCCUCUUGUUGUGGGUGACUUCUUUUUAGAUUUACUUCUAUGGAACCUAACCAAAAAAGAAAAAGAAAAAAAAGAGAGGUAGAAGCAGAUAACAUCACACCACCUGCUUGUUUUUACCUUUUGGCUCUACCUGAGUGGGAAUAAUUGGAAACGGAGGCAGUUAAAUGCCCUUGAAGUGGGCACAGGCUGAGUGCAGGCAGGCGGAAAAGGUAAAACUCCUUAAUCCAGCCACGAGAGAAUAUAAAAUUCUGUGUGUUCCUGUUUGCUGCCUGUUGAAUCUCAAACUGUGUCUGGCUUCUUCCCCACGUUGAGACCCAUAUUGCUGUUAAAACACAAAAAGCAGAGUCUGUGGGCUCCUUAAAGACUAGCAAAUUGUUUACAUCAUAAUAGGCUAUUGUGGGCUGGUCUUGUUAUGGGGAGGCUUUCUUUGACCCAUAAAAAUGUCAUGGUGAGACCUCCAUGUAAAAUACAGGGCUGUAACUUGGUGGUAGAGCUUAUGCUUUGUAUGCAGAAGGUCCCAGGUUCAUUUCACCAUAUUGCAAGCUAGAAGAUCUCUAGUAGUAAUUCUCUGAGACCUUAGAUAAUCACUGCCAAUCAGAGCAGACAUUACUGGGGCCAGAUGUACCACUUACCUGACUAGGUAUAAGUCUGUGUUCACAUUCACCUAUUCCUGGACUGUACUAUUUCCAGGCUGUUGGAGGGGUUGCAUGUCUGAAGACUUAUUGGUAGUUUUUUGUUUUUGUUUUCUUAAAAGCGCCUGCUUGCUUGUGGAAAACUUCAUUUUCCUAAUGUGCUAUUUUUCUACCUGAAAGCAUCCUCUCAAAACCAAAAGUAGCUAUCAGCUACUUUUAUUCCCAAGUGGUUCAGUCCAGCAACAUUCUGACCAUAUGAUGAAUCAUUUGUCCAGACUAGGUCUGCAUGCACAUGGUCCCUGGUGUCUCCUGCUAAAAUGAAUUCGGGUGGCAGAGCUGGGGAAUACCCCGGCCUGUGACCCUGGGGAACAGGCGCUAGAGUGGAAAAGUCAGUCUUCAAACUUCUCAAACCCAAGAGUGAUCUUCAGCCCAAGCAUGGAUUUCUCAGUUUUCUCUGAUAUAUUUAUGUGAUGGUAGUAGUGCUGUUCUUGCAACCCGUCUUGAACAAUAGAGGGUCCCGACUGAAGACCAGCUUUCCCCAAUGAGGUGCCUUCCAGAAGUUGCUAAACUCCAACUUCCCUCACCCUUUACUCCUGACCAUUUGACCUGGGGAUGGUAGGUGUUGCAUGUGCAGAUAACACCUGGCGGGCUACAGGUUCACCAUCCCUGUUCUACACACAUUGGUUGGGCUUCUUUUUGCAGGUUUGGCGGAAAGGCUCCCCCCAUUUCUUUUCUCCUUUCUCCUUCAUUGGAGCAUUCCUGAUCUAGAUCUGCCUGUUAGGAGCAGGGAGAUGGGCGUUGCUCAUUCAUGUUCCCUCCUGCAUAAUAAUUCUGAUACUAAAAUUAGUGCUGGUCUCCCUGGGCCAUAAUUCUUUCCUGAGAUUAUGGAGAAUUGCGUGUCCCAGUGAUUUAUAGUUUUUCUGGGUCUGGAUUCCCCCCACUCUUUUCUUCUUUUAUAUAACCUUGAGUCCUCAGGUCACUGUCCUUAGCCUUUCUUCUCCUUCUUUUUAUCUUUCUCCUUCUUUCUUUCGUGGUCUUCCCGUUCUUUGCCCUUGUUCCUUCCCCAUCCAGUCCCUCUUGUAUGGGGGGGAGAAACACUUUAGCCAUCUUCCGUAUUUUUGCCUGUUUAAGCCUCUGUCACUGCGGGCAGAUGGCUUCCUUGGGAGCUCUUCUGAAGGUUUUGUAAUUGAGUCUUUUACCAGGGCGACAGGAUAUUAUUAACCUUCGCUAAAGCAAUUUAUUUCAUACUCCUUUGUGGGGCUAAGCUUUCUCUCUUUCUACCCCCCUCCCUCCAUUUCUUUUCCCCAAGAAAAUAUGUACGUGGAAAAAAAGGUUUUACAAAAGGGAAUAACCAAGCCUCAAGCAUUAAACUCUCUCUGUGUGUGUGUAUUUUUAAAUUUGCACGGAGGAAAAAAGGUGUCUGCUGCCUGUUUUUAAAACAACUCUCGUUGGUCCCUUAAAAAUGUUUUUAAUGUGUGUUUGCAUGCUUGAGGGGAAGAAAAAAGCAGUCCUUUCGACUAUAAGUAGCUCGUAAAAGGGGGGUCCCAUUUCAUUUGAUGUUUUAAUAUCCCUUGCUACUUAAAGCAAUACAGCAUCUUGUUUUCAUCUCCUCAAUUGCUCCUAAAUCUAACUUGGGAAGGACGGGAGAGAGAGGGGAGGGAAGUCUUAGUGUGGUCCAUCGGAUGGAACUGAGGGAGAUACGACUGACCUUGUUUCAAAUCCCAGCCCAGUUUGGACUUGCUGGGUGGCCCCGGGCUGGUGGUUCUCUUGUCAUUCUUCGUUUCCCCGUCUGCAACACUCCAGUAGGUAUUGCGAACUGACUUGAGAGCUUGCAGGGAAGCGCUUUUCAUGUAAAAGCGCUGAAGAGAUCCCUAAUAAUGAAUUAAACUUCCUUGAAAUUUUGCGGCGGCUGUUCUUUGGGGAAGAGGGGUAGGCAGGGAGCUAGCUUUUCUUUAGUGUUGCCCUCCUCUCAUUCAGGGAUGCUGUUGCAGGAUGGGAGAAGCAGUGGUCCCCCCUGCAAUGUUUUGUGCUAUCCCUAAGGAGCGGCAAUGUCGCCACUUGCUUGUUCUACACACUGAAUGCCAUAAAUGGACCUGCCUACUAGCUCUGUAUGCCAAAGGCACCAGUUCUAAUGUGCAGAUGUAUGUGUGUGAUUGGCCUUUGUCGACAACGCUGCUGUAGUUGUGAAUACUACGCACCUGCCUUAUUUAUUUUGUUUCCUUUAUGAAUCGCUUCCUACAAAUAAUCUCAAAAUCAUUUCACGAUACUGUAAAAAAUAUAUGCAAAACAUCUUGAUUCCGCAGGAACAGUUGAAGCCAGUGCAUAUGUAGUAACACCGAC
rnacentral:lncRNA from 1 species